AGAGGCUGGCCUCAGUCGGCCGCGACAUUCGGUCCGCGAUACCAUUCCCAGUAAUCUCUGUCUACUGGACCUGACCACGAUUAGUGUGGGCUGCCGGUUGGUUAGCGGCGAACGCAUGUGCCAUUUUUAUCAUCGAAUUAAUUGAAAUCUUUCCCAGUCGAAAAUAAAGCCCCCCUCGAUAGCAGCCGGUCAUUGAUCCGUUAUCGGUGAACUUGAGCUCGUUGUCAGAAUUCGUUGCAAGGCUAAAAUUGUUGGUUCGAUAGGAUAAAAGGACCCGGUUCGUUUUUCGUCGCGAUCGCGUUCUCGAGAAUCUAAAAGACCAAGUACGAACAAGUUCGGUGCAGGAUGGACGUGAAAGCGGACACGGAGAAGAUCGACGAAGGGAAAAGAAGUCGCGAGACGUGAGAGGAAUCGUUUGCGCGAGUGAUCGUCGAAGGAUUACCGUUGUCGACCGAUUUUUACGGAAUCGAGUGAACUGGAACGUAGCCAAAAGCACGUCUAUCCGUUGCCGCGUAAAGUUACAAGUAAAGAUCCUCUUGCUCGGUGCGGUAGCGAUCACCACGUGGAUCAACGGUGAACCCUAUCACCGUUACGUUCGUUUCUCGAAGAAGUCUAACAGCCGCCUGCCUUCUGGCCAUCCAUCUUACCAACCGAAGAAUUUGGUUCCCCCUUAAACCGAUCAUUAAUGUCCCGAUCGUGGUUCUUGAUGUGCAGAGCUGCGCGUCGAUCGCGAUGCAUCCUUGAACAGACAGCAUUCUGAGGGAAAAGAAGCGAUCGAGGAGUGGAGCUGGCUAGGAUAAUGUAAGGUGUCUGAGAAGUGAGGUUUCUCCAAGACGAAAUGACGCUCGAUAGGAGGUUGCUGUUGUUGUUGUUGUUGUUGUUGAUCUUUCUGAUGGCGUUCGGUCUGUUCACGGUGGAGGCUAAGCAUCAUCCGCGGGAGGAGGUGGCAAGCGAGGCUAGACACAGACACAGGCACAAGCACAGGCACAGGCACGAGUCCUCGAACGGGAAGAGAAAUCGUCAUGAAUCCUCUUUGUCGCGGGUGCCCGACUACGAGGAUGACUACGAGCAGGAUGAUUACGAUCCUGGUCCCCCCUAUUACUACGAGAGAUCCUAUCCUCGGACGGCGAGGAUAAUCGGACCGCACGGACCGAAUCGGAUGCUCGAAACGCGUUACUCGGCAAAGUAUCGCCGAGGUGGUAGUUAUCGCGGAACAGGAAGAUAUUCUCCCCGAUAUCCGAUUAGAAGUUACAUGGCAAUGCCCGAUAGGACCUACCGCAGCAGACUCGGCCAUUCGAGAAGUCGCGACCAAGAGUACGAAGAGUACGAAGACCAGUUCGAUUACGAAAAACCUUCCCGCGGUUACGAGGACGACAGGCAUCGUUCUUGGUGGAAAAACGGAAAGAAACAGAGGAUCGCGCCUUCCAGGCACGAUUGGCGUUCUGACGUUCGAAAGAGACACCAUCCCGACGAUCUGCAAGGAUCGACGAGGAGAUUCGAUAACAAUUGGAGAAAAUUCAAUUCCACAGAGUCGAGGUAUUUCUUUCGAACAAACAGGAAAAAGAUGGACAGGCCAGAAGAUUACGAUUACCCUGUAGAUGGCUACGAUGAUAGGAACAAGGACGAAGAAGAGGACGAGGAUCAGAAAGAAGAAGAGGAGGAGGAGGAGGAGGAGGAUCAGAACGAAGACGACGAGGAGGAUCAAAACGAAGACGACGACGACGACGACGACGACGAAGACGACGACGACGACGACGACGACGACGACGACGAGGAGUUUGAUAAUGAUUUUUACAAGAGGGAUAAGAAAUCUCCUUUGAAAACGUACGACGACAUCAUUAGACGAUUGACGUCCGACGAGCCGACCACGGUUAGAACCACUAUAAAAAGAGACUACAGGAACAUCGUGGAGGCGGAGAGACACGCGAAACGAAAUGCUUUUGAAAAUUUCAAGUACGAACCAAGGAACCUCAGCAGAUCGCUGGUUCACGAUCGUGGACUGAAAUUUGCGGCAUCCUCGUACGUUGGCUUCGAUCAUCAAUCGGUGAAGAAGAUCGUGGAAAAUCCGUCCAGUAAAUUGUUCAGCUCGCCGGUCGAUCGUAAAUUAGCGAAGAACGCCAGCAACGCGGACGAUCGGCAAGAGAAGAAAAUCGUUUCGAAGAUGGACGAUAGUCAGGCAAGGACCAAGAGUCUCGAGCAGGAUUACGACGAGUAUGUGAAUGCGCCGGAUAACGAGAAGGAGGAGGAUCUCAUCAAGGCUGGAGUAGAAGAGGACUCGGCUAUGCAGGCGGACGUUACUAAUACCGAUUAUACGGAGGAUGAAGACGAAGACGAAACUCCUCCAACGACCACCACCUCGACAACAACCACAACUACAACCACCACGACGACCACAACUACACCGAAACCUGUAGUUACGCAGAAUUACGACUACAGAGAUUCGAGAGGUCACGAGGGCGGAACUGGAGCCCAAUAUAAUGGGUAUCAAUCAAAAAGCGACUAUCCACCGAUGUCGGCUCACAGUGCGCACAAGUGGCAGACUCUGGGCACUCGAGAAAGCGUCAAAGAAACCAGAAGCAACAUUCAGCAGUACAACAAAAACGGGAAGACGGCUGAAAUUCGAGAGGCUCUUCAGCACGCGAUCAAGGUUUCCCGAGAGGGUAGCUGUCAAUGGCCAAGGCCAAGGGUGAUUCCAGUUCGCGAUGUCUACCCGAGCCCAUCGACCACCUACAUUCCACACUGCGCCAUUUUGCACAGGUGUUCGGACGACACCGGAUGCUGUAGAUCGGAAGCGCUCACCUGCGUGCCGAAACACUCGCACCGCGUCGAACUCUCCUUCUACACGACGAACGUAGGCGGCAGCAGCGUGGUGGAAAAGCUAUCCUUUUACAACCACACGGAAUGCGAGUGCAGAGAGAAGACCGAAUACGACACGACCAACGAGAAACCCUCGGAGCAGAGAGUCUACAGACAUUUUGCGAGCUCGCUGCAACCUCAGAACAUGAGAAGGACGCAACCGAGAAAACCGUGCCGAUGCCCGUCGGAAUUCACGCCAAGGAUCACCUCCGAUGGCGAGUGCCAGUGCAACUGCUACGAGACUGAUCAAAACUGCAUCAAGAUCAGAAGGGGAAAAGGAUUCUUCUCUCUAGCUGAUAGAUUAUGCAUUCAAAACGACGAAUGCGCGUUGCCCAGCUGCGAGUUUGGCGAGUAUAUGCGGCGACAGGGUAAAUGUCCCCGGAAAAAGGACAAGUUCGACAAAAUCGCCAAUUACCACAGGAACCCGAGCCACUGGUACAGGAGUUAGAACGCAGAGAAGAGAACGGUAUGACGAUGAAGUGCCGAAAGAGGAACAGUGAAAAGUAGGAAGAAAGAGGUCGAGAGUGGAGGAAUAAUCGACGCGCGACGCGACGCGACGCGACGCGACGCGACGCGACGGUGCCAUUUUAUUUCCGAGUGCCUUUUAUCAGAGACUCGUUACAUACGGCUCGUCCUAUGUACCCCUCUCGAUACGGUUAUGUAUAAAUCUAUCCCGGCGACCUUAACGCUAUACUCUAAUGUCCCUCUUUGUUUUUUAUACUAUCGUUAUCGUUAUCGUUAUCGUUAUCGUUAUCGUAAUCGUUAUCGACGAGAAUCAUUCGAUCAGACCAGUGAUAAAUCACAAAUAACGGUAGAAAUGCUUUAGUUAUUAAAGUUUAGCAAAACCUUCUUGUCGAGUGCCUCGAAUUUGUUUAUGUAAAGGAUGGAACACGUAACUAAAACGUAUCACUUAUAAUUUUCAUUAGAAUCGAUGUUUGCCAAGUUACGUAGGUGGUUUUAAUUACGUGAUUCAUCCUGAGUAUUUUUCUAGAAUGAUUGUAAACAUCGUCGAGCAUUCUGAAGCGAGGAUAAACUCGUUACGGACGAGAUAGAGCUCUAGAUAGUUUAAUCGUGUUCGAUACUCGCGUCGCUGUGUGGAAGAAUCAAAAGAAAAGGGAGCGGAAAGUUACAUAUCCGGAAUUCGAAGAUCUGAGAAAGGCGCGAUGACAGAGGUCUCGAUUAUUCGUACGUUAACGGCGAAGAAAAGGUUGGACCAUAAGCCUAGUCUAAGAUCCUGCCUCUAUAUUCUGCGCGGAACCGACACGCUCGCGACAUCAAGAAGUGUCCUAUACCAAAGCGAGAAAGUUGUAAAGACGAGAAACAAUCGCGCAGAAUUAACGAUACAGAUCCCUUUAAUUGUACUCGUAUUUUUUUAUCUUCGAGCCAAGGUUCAUCGAGAAUCAAUAAUCAAUAAUCGUUAGUAGGUUUAUUAACUUUUCAAAUUUAAACUCCAAGGCCCGCGAGCGGAUCAUGAGUAAGCCGGGAAACAGCAGACUAGUGGCUCCAUCUAUCAAGCUUUUCUACGAAGCUAUCGGUGAAUGCAAAUUUGUUUCUCAAUGAACCAACCGCGUGCAUGAUCAUUGCACACCUGUACAGACUACUAACGAUGAACCUUCGAAGAAACAAUUCAAGUAUACGAGAAGAAGAACAAACAAAGUUCGACCGGCUCAAAGUGACGUUCGAGCCGCGGGUAUUUCGUAUCGCGCCCUCUAAACGUGUUUUGUACGCUUUUAUAUACAUUAUCGUAGUAUGUACGUACGUAGUAGCCGAUUUGAUCGCGAAACCGAUAGCUGAUCGAGCAUUUAUGAGUCAAUGGACACAAUUCCUGUAUAGAUCGGUCCAUUUUACGCUAUUCAAAAACUUUAGGUCACACUACUUACGAUUAGAUGUCGCUUUAUCAGAUGAUUCCCGCGCUAUGAAACAUGCAAUUUUUCCAAAUUCGAUCUAUACGCGAAUUUACGAUUUUUGGUGCCGAAUAUUCUACUGUUAAUAAUACAUUGGACGCCACUCGACAUUCAGCUUGCUGUUGCCAAUGCUCGGGUAAUCCAACACACGUGUUAAUUGAUAGAAACACCAAAAAAUUUGCUUUAAAAUAUUCAACCGCACUAUUCAAACGAACGCGACCGACCACGAUCACGAUGAUUCAAGAACUGCAACAUUCUGGCUCUCCUGACGCCAUCUGGUGGCACACACUUUUAUUCUGUUAUUCGCUCUCCGAGAAACCUUUCCUUUAUUUUUAAUUUCUCGGUCGUAUACACUUAUAACAUGUUUAAGCAACUGCGAUCUAUAAUAUUACAGUUUUGUACGAUAAUAAAUUUGAUGUCUCAUGCUAAUUAGUCCUUUUAUUAAUUUUGAUAUACUAACCACGAUAACAAUGUCGAAGGUAGACCAAACAUCUCGUGGAAUUUUUUGUCAGAUGGUUUGCUGUACCAACGUAGCCCAAAACGUAAUUUGGAUCAAUGAUGUUAGAUGGCAAUAAUGUAGAAUUGUUAACGUGUUUUGGUGAAUGCUUUGAUAACCUGAAAUGUCAUAACAGAAACGUCAGUUUUAACAAAAUAAUGAUACAAAUAUGAUAUUUUUUAGUUAAUAAAUCUGUUUGUAAUAGUUUUGUAAUCAGUGUUUACUUUAUCCACUGUAUAAGUAAAACAACGAUGUAAGAUCAUGAUCAUGUACAAUAAAUACAUAUGUAUUUAACAAUGCA